rnacentral:siRNA from 1 species
UUGGUUUUAGGUUGGAAGUC